rnacentral:rRNA from 1 species
UACGGAGGGUGCAAGCGUUAUCCGGAUUCACUGGGUUUAAAGGGUGCGUAGGCGGGUUGGUAAGUCCGUGGUGAAAUCCCCAAGCUUAACUUGGGAACUGCUGUGGAUACUAUCAAUCUUGAAUAUCGUGGAGGUAAGCGGAAUAUGUCAUGUAGCGGUGAAAUGCUUAGAUAUGACAUAGAACACCAAUUGCGUAGGCAGCUUACUACACGAUCAUUGACGCUGAGGCACGAAAGCGUGGGGAGCAAACAGG